rnacentral:rRNA from 1 species
AUGAACGCUAGCGACAGGCUUAACACAUGCAAGUCGAGGGGCAGCACAGGUAGCAAUACCGGGUGGCGACCGGCGCACGGGUGAGUAACGCGUAUGCAACUUGCCUAUCAGAGGGGGAUAACCCGGCGAAAGUCGGACUAAUACCGCAUGAAGCAGGGAUCCCGCAUGGGAAUAUUUGCUAAAGAUUCAUCGCUGAUAGAUAGGCAUGCGUUCCAUUAGGCAGUUGGCGGGGUAACGGCCCACCAAACCGACGAUGGAUAGGGGUUCUGAGAGGAAGGUCCCCCACAUUGGUACUGAGACACGGACCAAACUCCUACGGGAGGCAGCAGUGAGGAAUAUUGGUCAAUGGCCGAGAGGCUGAACCAGCCAAGUCGCGUGAGGGAUGAAGGUUCUAUGGAUCGUAAACCUCUUUUAUAAGGGAAUAAAGUGCGGGACGUGUCCCGUUUUGUAUGUACCUUAUGAAUAAGGAUCGGCUAACUCCGUGCCAGCAGCCGCGGUAAUACGGAGGAUCCGAGCGUUAUCCGGAUUUAUUGGGUUUAAAGGGUGCGUAGGCGGCCUUUUAAGUCAGCGGUGAAAGUCUGUGGCUCAACCAUAGAAUUGCCGUUGAAACUGGGGGGCUUGAGUAUGUUUGAGGCAGGCGGAAUGCGUGGUGUAGCGGUGAAAUGCAUAGAUAUCACGCAGAACCCCGAUUGCGAAGGCAGCCUGCCAAGCCAUUACUGACGCUGAUGCACGAAAGCGUGGGGAUCAAACAGGAUUAGAUACCCUGGUAGUCCACGCAGUAAACGAUGAUCACUAGCUGUUUGCGAUACAGUGUAAGCGGCACAGCGAAAGCGUUAAGUGAUCCACCUGGGGAGUACGCCGGCAACGGUGAAACUCAAAGGAAUUGACGGGGGCCCGCACAAGCGGAGGAACAUGUGGUUUAAUUCGAUGAUACGCGAGGAACCUUACCCGGGUUUGAACGCAUUCGGACCGAGGUGGAAACACCUUUUCUAGCAAUAGCCGUUUGCGAGGUGCUGCAUGGUUGUCGUCAGCUCGUGCCGUGAGGUGUCGGCUUAAGUGCCAUAACGAGCGCAACCCUUGCCACUAGUUACUAACAGGUAAAGCUGAGGACUCUGGUGGGACUGCCAGCGUAAGCUGCGAGGAAGGCGGGGAUGACGUCAAAUCAGCACGGCCCUUACAUCCGGGGCGACACACGUGUUACAAUGGCGUGGACAAAGGGAGGCCACCUGGCGACAGGGAGCGAAUCCCCAAACCACGUCUCAGUUCGGAUCGGAGUCUGCAACCCGACUCCGUGAAGCUGGAUUCGCUAGUAAUCGCGCAUCAGCCAUGGCGCGGUGAAUACGUUCCCGGGCCUUGUACACACCGCCCGUCAAGCCAUGGGAGCCGGGGGUACCUGAAGUCCGUAACCGCGAGGAUCGGCCUAGGGUAAAACUGGUGACUGGGGCU